CAGUCAAAUCAACAGCUGGAUGCCAAUAGUCUCUGUCUUUUCACGGUUCUGACCCAGCAAUAAUGAUAACAGUUUUCAAAAAAAGAUCUUUUCAUUUACCUACUAUCCUUUCCAGAGAUUUCCAUCUCCAUCUCCUCUCAAUCUGGAUACCUUGGUCUAUUCCUCUCUAGAGCUUGACGAACGUGGUCUGGAAUCCCUCCUUCCAGGACUUUGGCAUUUCUUUAUAACAGUUUUUGAGUCACCUAUUACCUCCAUUUUGUUUAAUCCCAUGAAGAUUCCUAAUUUCAUUGCUUGUAACCUUACUUGAGCCUCUGCCAUGAACGGAGUAGCUAUAUCAGAAUGAUUGACCAUUUUCGAUGCUAAGAUCUCCCCCUCUUCAUUUCGUACAAGCAAGCCUGAAGCCGAUCUGAAAUGUUGUUGGUCAUAAGCUACAUCAAAAUAGACUGUAACCCUUGCUUCGCAAACAUGCUGUUGACAAAUUCUAUUGGACUGAUCAACCAGAGUCCACAAUAGAAAAAUCGGAUCUGUUCACUAGUCUCCUGUUCAAAGACCCAAUUGUAGGACACUGGCGAAAAAUGUGGUUACUGUUCUCUUCAUCUUGACGACAUCGAGGGCAUUAUGCAUCUACUACCACUUUCUUUUGCUUGAUGUUCACAAGGGAAUGAAUAAAAUUCCAAGAAAUUCUCUAAAUUGUCAAUGUUACUUUUGAGGGGAUUUAUAAUUUCCAUAGUUUUUUAUAGAAAUUUUUUUAUUUCGGUUUGUAUAAAGUAAUUAUUAGGAUCCACGCUAGACUCCUGUAAUAGUUUAUAGACGCUUCUGACUGAGAACUCACUGGACUGUUCACCUCUCCAUACUUGAAAGUCUUCAUAUUCUAUCUCUGCCAGUGGAAUUUACAUGAUCUUCCUUACAACAGCCAAAUUAAAAGUAUUCAUAAUCA